rnacentral:lncRNA from 1 species
AUGCUAAAAUUACUCUAUGCAUGACAAUAAUUUUUGUCAUGCCAUCUGAACACCAUGAUAUCACUAUAUCAUUUUCCUUACAUCCUUGGAUCCCUCAUUUUCACGCCACUUAUAGUUCUUUCUCUAUCCUCUCUUUUACCCAUGUUAAAAACCUUAAAUUACUAUAAGUCUGUUAGUCUUUAUUCUACACGUAGUUUCAAAUGACUAACUCCUAAUAAUGUACCUCCUAAUUAGCAAAAUUAUGAUACCCCACUUGUGAUACCCCAAACCC